AGUGAACGCUGGCGGUAGGCCUAACACAUGCAAGUCGAACGGCAGCACAGUAAGAGCUUGCUCUUACGGGUGGCGAGUGGCGGGAGGGUGAGGAAUAUAUCGGAAUCUACUUUUUCGUGGGGGUUAACGAAGGGAAACUUAAGCUAAUAUCGCAUAUGACCUACGGGUGAAAGCAGGGGAUCUUCGGACCUUGCGCGGUUGAAUGAGCCGAUGUCGUAUUGGCUGGUUGGCGGGGUAAUGGCCCACUAAGGCGACGAUCCGUAGCUGGUCUGAGUGGAUGGUCAGCCGCCUUGGAGCUGAGACACGGACCAGGCGCCUAAGGGAGGCAGCAGUGGGGAAUAUGGGACAGUGGGCGCAAGCCUGAUCCAACCAUACCGCGUGGGAUAAGAAGGCGUUCGGGUUGUGAAGCCCGUUUGUUGGGAAUGAAAAGCAGCAGGUUAAGACCCCGCGGGUCUGACGGUACCCAAAGAAGAAGCACCGGCUAACUACGUG
rnacentral:rRNA from 1 species